rnacentral:rRNA from 1 species
UACGAAGGGUGCAAGCGCUACUCGGAAUUACUGGGCGUAAAGCGUGCGUAGGUGGUUUGUUAAGUCUGUUGUGAAAGCCCCGGGCUCAACCUGGGAAUGGCAAUGGAUACUGGCAAGCUAGAGUGCGGUAGAGGGUAGUGGAAUUCCCGGUGUAGUGGUGAAAUGCGUAGUAUAUCGAGAGGAACACCUGCGGCGAAGGCGGCGAUCUGGGCAGAUACUGACGCUGAGGUGCGAAAGCGUGGGGAGGCAAACAGG